rnacentral:rRNA from 1 species
ACUCGCCGAACUGCUCAGUAACACGUAGCUAACUUACCCUCAAGAGGAGGAUAAUCCUGCGAAAGUGGGGCUAAUACUCCAUAGUUGUCAGGUGCUGGAACUGCUCUGACAGCCAAAGCUUCGGCGCUUGAGGAUAGGACUGCGGCCUAUCAUGGCUGUUGUGAGUGUAAUGUACUCACAAACCUAUAACGGGUAGGGGUCAUGAAAGUGAGAGCCUCGAGAUGCUUUCUGAGACAUGAAAGCAGGUCCUACGGGACGCAGCAAGCGCGAAACCUUUCCAAUUGCUAAGCGGCUGAGAAGGGAAUCCUGAGUGGGUAUACAAUGUAUAUCCUUUUGUUUUGCCUCGAAAGCAAGACGAAUAAGUGGUGGGUAAGACGGGUGGCAGCCGCCGCGGUAAUACCCGCGCCACGAGUGGUAACCGCUGUUAUUGGGUUUAAAGCGUCCGUAGCCGGUUUAGCAAGUUCCUGGUGAAAUCCAACAGUUGACUGUUGGGCGUGCUGGGAAUACUACUAGACUUGGGAUUGGGAGAGGAUAGGGGUAUUCCUUGUGUAGGGGUUAAAUCCAUUAAUCCAAGGAGGACCUCCGGUGGCGAAGGCGCCUAUCUAGAACAAGUCCGACGGUGAGGGACGAAAGCGUGGGGAGCGAACGGGAUUAGAUACCCCGGUAGUCCACGCUGUAAACGAUGCCCGUUUGAUGUUGCAAACUUUACGAGAGUUUGCAGUGUCGGAGUGUAA